AAUGAACGCUGGCGGCGCGCCUAAUACAUGCAAGUCGAGCGAGAAGACGUAGCAAUACGUUUGUAAAGCGGCGAACGGGUGAGGAAUACAUGGGUAACCUACCCUCGAGUGGGGAAUAACUAGCCGAAAGGUUAGCUAAUACCGCGUACGCUUCUUGGACUUCGGUUCAGGGAGGAAAGCGAUGCCGAGGGUAUCGCGCUCUUGGAUGGGCUCAUGUCCUAUCAGCUUGUUGGGAGGU
rnacentral:rRNA from 1 species